AACCCCUGUGAACAUACCACUUGUUGCCUCGGCGGAUCAGCCCGCUCCCGGUAAAACGGGACGGCCCGCCAGAGGACCCCUAAACUCUGUUUCUAUAUGUAACUUCUGAGUAAAACCAUAAAUAAAUCAAAACUUUCAACAACGGAUCUCUUGGUUCUGGCAUCGAUGAAGAACGCAGCAAAAUGCGAUAAGUAAUGUGAAUUGCAGAAUUCAGUGAAUCAUCGAAUCUUUGAACGCACAUUGCGCCCGCCAGUAUUCUGGCGGGCAUGCCUGUUCGAGCGUCAUUUCAACCCUCAAGCACAGCUUGGUGUUGGGACUCGCGUUAAUUCGCGUUCCUCAAAUUGAUUGGCGGUCACGUCGAGCUUCCAUAGCGUAGUAGUAAAACCCUCGUUACUGGUAAUCGUCGCGGCCACGCCGUUAAACCCCAACUUCUGAAUGUUGACCUCGGAUCAGGUAGGAAUACCCGCUGAACUUAAGCAUAUCAAUAAGCCGGAGGAGGAUCAUUACCGAGUUUACCAACUCCCCAACCCCUGUGAACAUACCACUUGUUUGCCUCGGCGGAUCAGCCCCGCUCCCGGUAAAAACGGGACGGCCCCCCGAGGAACCCCUAAACUCUGUUUCUAUAUGUAACUUUCUGA
rnacentral:rRNA from 1 species